rnacentral:rRNA from 1 species
GACGAACCGUGCAAACGUUAAUCGGAAUUACCGGGCGUAAAGCGUGCGCAGGCGGCUUUGCAAGACAGAUGUGAAAUCCCCGGGCUUAACCUGGGAACUGCAUUUGUGACUGCAGGGCUGGAGUGCGGCAGAGGGGGAUGGAAUUCCGCGUGUAGCAGUGAAAUGCGUAGAUAUGCGGAGGAACACCGAUGGCGAAGGCAGCCCCCUGGGCUAACACUGACGCUCAUGCACGAAAGCGUGGGGAGCAAACAGG